GCAUUAUCGCGAUGGCUCGGUUGGCCUCGGGAGAGGUGAGUAUUUCUCCACUUUGCUUUACUGCUGGGCUGGGAGGCAGGAGCCACUUUGUCAUCUGUGGUCGCUGGGAGGGAGCAGGUCGUCCCCCUGCCCGUCACGCACAUGGCGCCCGCUAUCUUAAACACAUCACCCGGGCCCCCCCCCAGCCUCGGUUGCGGCGUCUCGGUCUGGGCAGCUACUGAAGACACCAAUCUGCCGAACAGGAACCAUCCAAAUGUUCCAAACAGCCGAACAGUAAACCAUACGAAGGCUCAAAACAGCCAAACAGGAAAAACCAUACGGAGGGUUUACACUCCUAGCAGUCAAACAGGGAAGCAUAUGAAUAAAUCCCCCCCAAGUACGAGACGAGGCUCUGUAUUGAAGGUUAAGCAGGAAUCUGGUUUAAUGGGGCUACCUGCCCAGUAUUUAUGCAGGUCUCCCACCAGGUGGACACUCCCCUAGGGGUCCUGGUGGAAAACUGUGACAACUUUACACAGUAACCAAUCACAGACAUACCACAGGUACAUUGUAAUCCCUCCUCUCUAUCCUGGAGAUAAUUGGGAAGUAAUCCAAUUAUCUCUGAGGAUAGAGGCAAAACACACAUGAUAAUAAAAACAGAUAAAAAUAUAUAGUAUAAAAACUACUGAAUGAAAUAAGCAUGUUCAAUAUAUCUCCAGAUGGCUUACAUCUGAGCGCACAUUAUUACCAAAUGGCGAUUAGAUACCAUACAUACAGUUCAAUCACCAUGGAGCC